CCUACGGGCGGCAGCAGUGAGGAAUAUUGGUCAAUGGGCGAGAGCCUGAACCAGCCAAGUCGCGUGAAUGAUGACGGCCCUACGGGUUGUAAACUUCUUUUGUCAGGGAGCAAUUGGGUCCACGCGUGGGCUUAGCGAGAGUACCUGAAGAAAAAGCAUCGGCUAACUCCGUGCCAGCAGCCGCGGUAAUACGGAGGAUGCGAGCGUUAUCCGGAUUUGUUGGGUUUGAAGGGUGCGUAGGCGGAAUAUCAAGUCAGCGGGAAAAAUUCGGGGCUCAACCCCGUCGUGCCGUUGAAACUGAGGUGCUUGAGUGGGCGAGAAGUAUGUGGAAUGCGUGGUGUAGCGGUGAAAUGCAUAGAUAUCACGCAGAACUCCGAUUGCGAAGGCAGCAUACAGGCGCCCAACUGACGCUGAAGCACGAAAGCGUGGGUAUCGAACAGGAUUAGAUACCCGAGUAGUC
rnacentral:rRNA from 1 species